rfam:Nematostella vectensis strain CH2 x CH6 NEMVEscaffold_39_Cont6463, whole genome shotgun sequence.
GGCUCAGUGGUCUAGUGGUAUGAUUCUCGCUUUGGGUGCGAGAGGCCACGAGUUCGAUUCCCGUCUGAACCC